UGAUUUAUUUGCGCAGUAUAGGUGGGAGGCGUUGAGAAUAUUCUUGCGGGAAUAUUGGAGUCAUCAGUGAGAUACCACUCUUGUAAUGUUAGAUUUCUAACUUUGGAUCAUUAUCUGGUCAAAGGACAGUUUCAGGCGGGCAGUUUGACUGGGGCGGUCGCCUCCCAAACGGUAACGGAGGCGCACAAAGGUUUCCUCUGAACGUGUAGAAAUCGUAUCUAGAGUGUAAAGGCAUAAGGAAGCUUGACUGUGAGACCUACAAGUCGAGCAGGGACGAAAGUCGGUCUUAGUGAUCUGACGGUGCUGAGUGGAAAGGCCGUCACUCAACGGAUAAAAGUUACUCUAGGGAAACCAGGGCUGA
rnacentral:rRNA from 1 species